rnacentral:rRNA from 1 species
GAUGAACGCUAGCGGCAGGCUUAACACAUGCAAGUCGAGGGGUAUAGAAAGCUUGCUUUCUAGAGACCGGCAAACGGGUGCGGAACACGUACACAACCUACCUUUAUCAGGGGGAUAGCCUUCGGAAACGGAGAUUAAUACCCCAUAGUAUUAUGGAGUGGCAUCAUUUUAUAAUUAAAGAAUUUCGGAUAGAGAUGGGUGUGCGUAAGAUUAGCUAGUUGGUUAGGUAAAGGCUCACCAAGGCAACGAUCUUUAGCUGAUGUGAGAGCAUGAUCAGCCACACGGGCACUGAGACACGGGCCCGACUCCUACGGGAGGCAGCAGUGAGGAAUAUUGGUCAAUGGAUGGAAGUCUGAACCAGCCAUGCCGCGUGAAGGAUGAAGGCGCUCUGCGUUGUAAACUUCUUUUAUUUAGGAAGAAACCACUUUUUUUUAAGAGUGUUGACGGUAUUAAAUGAAUAAGCACCGGCUAACUCCGUGCCAGCAGCCGCCGUAAUAC